rnacentral:lncRNA from 1 species
GCCUCCGCCUCCGGCCCGCCCUCGUCUCCGCCCCUGCGGGGGCUGCUCGUUAGGCCCCGCCCUGCACCCCCGUCACCCACGCCGCGCGACCCGCAGCCGCCGCCAGGGCCCUCUGCUGCCGCGGAGGUGCUAGGACAGCCGCGGACGGCCCGCCUCCCCGUGCCCCGGGCCUCGAGGCCAAUAAAAAGCUCGCCCCUCCAGCUCACCGGGUCCGACGGGUACGGUACAAAGUGCUGUCUCUCGCCACAGCCACCUUUGUGACAAUAAAAGCAAUAAGGCUAAUGUCCAUGGGGCGCUCACGGUGAGCUUUAGCUUUAUGAUAAAGAUUGGCCUGUUACCUCGUUUAAUCUUCACAACUGCCCCAUCAACUAUGUACUCUUACUGUCCCCAGUUUAUGCAUGAACAGAGAAAGCUGAGAUACGGAGACUAGUGAUCCGUCGAGGUAAUAAACGGCACAGGUGGGGUUUGAACUCCAUCAGUUUGAUUGCAGAGGCCUGGAACAACCCUACAGCCUUCUCUCAGAUCUUUUCUGGACCUUUUUCUAUGCGCUUUGCACCUAGGACGUGAGGCUGCCAAGCUUGGUAUUCAAUAAAUAUUGAUGGAUGAAGGAACAAUGGAAGAAAGGAGUGCAUGGGUAAACAAAUGACAAAUAUGUCAAAGCACGGAUGCAGAUUCUUAGAAUGGGCUAAUGCUGUUUUCUGCUGGAUUUUUGGAUGUGUACAAACGAGUUCUCUCACAAUACAGAUCCACAGUGUCUGGGUCAGAGGAGAACUGAUGCUCCGCAUGGCAUUUUACCAUCCUGCCUGCCUGCCUGGGGCCCUGGGCCCACAGGCUUUGGGGAGAGUGUAUGGCCAGGCUGCAGCCUUCCUGGGAUAAAGCUCUGCCUUUUAGUCUCUUAUCCUACUUUUUAGAAGCCCUUUAAGGUCUUUGUUAAAGGAAAUCUAAUGUGAAGAAUUCCAGGAGAACUGGAUAAGCCUGACUAUGGGUGGGCGUGACUGAAUUACUUCCCGGGCUGGCUAAGGAAGGCCUCCCCCGAAGUGCAUCGGAAGCCUGCAGCUUCUCCUUAUGGCCACUGGAGGGCACUUGGACCAUGAAAUACCAGAUCGUCUCGGCGUCCCAGGUCUUUGGAAAUGUGUGAUUCAAUUCAGCAAACGUUUCAAAAUCAUCACUAUAAAGAUAGCGCUUUUGUGUUGAACAUCCAAUAUGGCGCUAAACACCUUAUAUAUAUGUGUGCGUGUAUAUAUGAACUUGCUUAAUAUUAACUACAAUUGUUGUGAGUUACUUAGGCUAUUUAGGAAAAAAAAAUCAAGGCUUAAAGAAGUCAAAGUACUUACCCAAGAUUGCUUAGCUAAAUAAAAUUUGGGAGUAAGGACUUGAACUCAAGCCCUUGGGCACCAACCAUAAGCAAUAGGUGCACACAAAGCUGAAAUGAGGACUCUCUUAUAAGCAGGAAGACGCACACACCACACAAAUAUUAUUGUUCCUCAACAAUUUACACAUUCUGAAAUUGGAAGAUGACUUACAAUUUGUACAUUACAUGGUAAUGUUUCUUUUUUCCCUUGAAAUGAUGUUAUUAAAUAAAUGAAGUGUCUCACAAU